rnacentral:rRNA from 1 species
CGCGUAGGCGGAUUAUUAAGUCAGGGGUGAAAUCCCGAGGCUCAACCUCGGAACUGCCUUUGAUACUGGUGAUCUUGAGUCCGGGAGAGGUGAGUGGAAUUCCUAGUGUAGAGGUGAAAUUCGUAGAUAUUAGGAAGAACACCAGUGGCGAAGGCGGCUCACUGGCCCGGUACUGACGCUCAUGUGCGAAAGCGUGGGGAGCAAACAGGAUUAGAUACCCUGGUAGUC